GCUGUCAAUGGAGGUAUCCAAGGAAACCUGGGUAUGCAGUACGGAUUUUAUCAGAUGGUUACCAGAGCAUUCAAGGCCGGUCAAGAAAAAAGAAGGUGGAGAUGAGGCCAAGAAGAAAAGGAUCAGCAUUGACAUCAAUCCUCCGCCUGUGCACAAUAACUUGCAGCAACCACCUAGGUCUUCUUGUUCAUAUCCGGCCAAGCCGCCGGCUCGUGCCGCUGGCGCAGAGUCUAUGUCUACAGUGAUAGAGCAGAAGCUGGUGGGAACCAAGGGUAUUGAGCCAUUUGUGCUAACUCGCUGCAAGUCGGAGCCGAUGAGG
rnacentral:misc_RNA from 1 species